rnacentral:tRNA from 1 species
GCGCCAGUAGCCCAAUCGGCAGAGGCACAGGGUUUAAGCCCCUGUCAGUAUCGGUUCGAAUCCGAUUUGGCGUA